rnacentral:rRNA from 1 species
GAUGAACGCUGGCGGCGUGCUUAACACAUGCAAGUCGAACGGAAAGGCCCAAGCUUGCUUGGGUACUCGAGUGGCGAACGGGUGAGUAACACGUGGGUGAUCUGCCCUGCACUUCGGGAUAAGCCUGGGAAACUGGGUCUAAUACCGGAUAGGACCACAUUUUGGAUGGUGUGGUGGAAAGUUUUUCGGUGUGGGAUGAGCUCGCGGCCUAUCAGCUUGUUGGUGGGGUAAUGGCCUACCAAGGCGUCGACGGGUAGCCGGCCUGAGAGGGUGUACGGCCACAUUGGGACUGAGAUACGGCCCAGACUCCUACGGGAGGCAGCAGUGGGGAAUAUUGCACAAUGGGCGCAAGCCUGAUGCAGCGACGCCGCGUGGGGGAUGACGGCCUUCGGGUUGUAAACUCCUCUCGCUAGGGACGAAGCGUUAUGUGACGGUACCUGGAGAAGAAGCACCGGCUAACUACGUG